GCCGAACGCUGGCGGCGUGCCUAAUACAUGCAUGUAGGACGCAGUUGCGAACGGGUGAGUAACGCGUAGGUCACAACCUAUUAGAGGGGGAUAACUAUUGGCAACGAUAGCUACUCCCGCAUACUAGUAGAUGCACCUGCGUUGUAUUAGAUAGUAGGUAGGGUAAUGGCCUACCUAGGCAACGUUUCAUAGCCGACGGGAGAGGUUGAUCGGCAACACUGGAACGGAGACACGGCCCAGACGCCUACGGGAGGCAGCAGUAGGGAAGCGUCGGAAAUGGGGGGAAACAUGACCAAGCAACGCCGCGUGAGUGAAGAAGGUUUUCGGAUCGUAAAACUCUGUUGUUAAGUAAGCGGUACUUGACCAGAAAGGAACGGCUAACUACGUGACAGCAGCCGCGGUAAUAC
rnacentral:rRNA from 1 species